rnacentral:tRNA from 1 species
GGGCCCGUAGCUCAGCCCGGUAGAGCGGCGGGCUCUUAACCCGUAGACCAGAUCUGCUGGGCGGAAGUCCCGGGUUCAAAUCCCGGCGGGCCCG